AAAAAAAAAAACACUUUCUUACCCUCUUUCAAUGAAACCCCACACAAUUUCAACAUCAUUUCACAUUCUAUCACCAACACACGUCGCACUUUCGUACUACCUCGUCCACAUAAAACAUUGAUGCUUAAAAAGAAUACCAUUGUGUAAAGCAUUUGGAGAAAUACAAACACUAACAAAGGUGAGUAAAACAUAAACUUUUGUUUGCAAAGUAUAUUUAUUGACUAGAAACAAUUCUAAUUUUUUUUCUUCAUAUCCUAUUCCCAGCAUUGGGCUGAAUAAAAAAAUACAUCGCUUGAUUUCAUUCAUGUUUUUCUUUUAGCUGUAGCAAUAAGUACCAAACCAUGUAGCUAUCUCCCCACCCCUUCCCCAGGACUAUCCCAACAAAAUCUAAAUAACAUGUUUAACAUAUGAUGCUGUUGUCUCUAAAUGCAGUACAAAAUUUCCUGGCUACUUCAGCUCCAAAAGCAAACUUCCUAAGCUUCUUGUUUAUGGUAAAUAUCCAAAUCAGUGUAAGUGAGUGUUUUUGUGAAAAAACACUAGGCUGUUCCAAAGGUUGACUGUUCAAGCUUGCUGUUUCUUGUAAAUUUUCAGAUCAGCAUGAGUGUCCUUGUAGCGCUGAGUCAGGUAGUCCUGGCAUAAGAUGGGAGGAAAUCUGGUAAAAGAGAAAAAUGCAAAGAUGUUAAGAGCCUCUACAAACAGCACAGAUUUUAUACCGUGGUUGCUUCCUAUUGAUUUAUCUACAUAACAUUUGGGUGAACAAUUAGGCAAUUUCAUGCACAUUGCUUUAUAUUAUAAAUGGCCUGUUUUAGUACUCUAUCGACCAAACAAACAAGCCUCAGAAGGGAAGGAUGGAAUCUGAAUGUGAGAUUAACUUUCUAACAUACACUAUGCUGCUAAUUUUUAGUUGACAUGUUUAACUUACUUAGGAGGAUUACUAUCAGAUUUGCAGGUUGGCAAGCACUCUACUAGACAGUCAUGACUUGGCUCCAAGAAGUAUGCAAUCUGUAAAAGGAAACAGCACAGUGAUGAGCGUGUUGCAUGAUUUUGCCAAGCUUUGCAAGUUAAAACUGAUAUGAUAUACAUAGAUGCAUAAUCUAGAAAGAGACCAAAUUUUGGAAUAUAAUAACAUAGUGAUGGUUCAUAUCGUCGCUAUCAAUGAAUAAAAAAAGGGAAGACCGACUGUGCUGGAAAAACCAACGACCGUGACAGAAGUCAAUCCUGGGAGCUGUAACCAGUAGCCCAAUAAUUGUCCUUAGCAUUAUGAAUUCCAAUGAUGGCAGAAGAUAAUGGAGAACCACAGGACCACAAGAUAAAUAUUGAAAUACUAUAUAUGUUUUGACCAGAUAAGUACUGAGAUACGAAUAAAUUUUGAGGUCUUCAGGAAGGCUAAAUAUAUUAUGUAUUAAACAAUUUAAUACCGA
rnacentral:sRNA from 1 species